rnacentral:ncRNA from 1 species
AGCGGGAGUGCUGUUGCUACAGCUGAGAAUCGUUUACAACGAUGCCCUUUGAACCUGAAACGGAUAAUGCCGACGUAGGGAGUCUUUUU